rnacentral:rRNA from 1 species
UACGUAGGCGGUCCAAUAAGUCAGUGGUGAAAUCCUGCAGCUUAACUGUAGAACUGCCAUUGAUACUGUCGGACUUGAAUAUAGAUGAGGUAGGCGGAAUGUGUUGUGUAGCGGUGAAAUGCUUAGAUAUAACACAGAACACCAAUUGCGAAGGCAGCUUACUAGACUAUAAUUGACGCUGAGGUACGAAAGCGUGGGGAGCGAACAGGAUUAGAUACCCUGGUAGUCC